rnacentral:tRNA from 1 species
GGCCUUGUAGCUCAGUUAGUUAGAGCGUUGGCUUUACUAAAGCCAUCCAAUUGCUGGCGUGGGUUCGAAUCCCACCGAGGCCU